GAUCGCCCCAGAGGAGGAAGAGAAGGAGGGGGUCAGCCUCGUGGACAAGGAGCAGGAUGCGACCAGUGAGGAAUCUGGGGCUUGCUCUGAUGCCCCUCUGGUGGAGAGGGUCACUCCCGAGCCUGUGACUCCGGAAGGGAAAACAGAACAGGACUCCACGAACCAGU